rnacentral:lncRNA from 1 species
UGUCUUCAAAUUUGUGGCUUGGAAGAACAGGGAAAUCGUGACACGAUUUUGGUAUCGUGACGCGAUUUCGGAUGCCGUGAGUUAGGGUUGCAGGGGUGCAAAUCGUGACACGAUUUUGGGAAAAUCGUGACACGAUCAAGAAACUUGCUCGUUAAGUAUCCUUGAUAAGGACUGGUCGUUCCUUGGGACGGACGCAAAUCGUGACA